AUUGAACGCUGGCGGCAGGCCUAACACAUGCAAGUCGAGCGGAUGAAGGGAGCUUGCUCCUGGAUUCAGCGGCGGACGGGUGAGUAAUGCCUAGGAAUCUGCCUGGUAGUGGGGGAUAACGUCCGGAAACGGGCGCUAAUACCGCAUACGUCCUGAGGGAGAAAGUGGGGGAUCUUCGGACCUCACGCUAUCAGAUGAGCCUAGGUCGGAUUAGCUAGUUGGUGGGGUAAAGGCCUACCAAGGCGACGAUCCGUAACUGGUCUGAGAGGAUGAUCAGUCACACUGGAACUGAGACACGGUCCAGACUCCUACGGGAGGCAGCAGCGGGGAAUAUUGGACAAUGGGCGAAAGCCUGAUCCAGCCAUGCCGCGUGUGUGAAGAAGGUCUUCGGAUUGUAAAGCACUUUAAGUCGGGAGGAAGGGCAGUAAGUUAAUACCUUGCUGUUUUGACGUUACCAACAGAAUAAGCACCGGCUAACUUCGUG
rnacentral:rRNA from 1 species